rnacentral:misc_RNA from 1 species
UUCAUACCAGUCCAUAAUCUUCAAAAAUAAAUAAAUAAAGUGCAAAGGGCAUCAUGCUAACUAAAGGGACUAACGAGAAAAAUAUAACAAUCAUAUAAAGAUGUAUAAGAAUUAAGUUAUUAAUAUAAAAAUUUCCAAUCCGACAAAUCUAUCCAAGUGUCUGCUCAUGUUGUGCAUCAAAAAUAUGUUCUUGGGCUUUCUGUACACAUGAGAAGAUAUGCAAGUAACAACCCUUUGCAUCUGCAGGCUAGUUAUCUUUCAGUUUUACCGAGUUCUAGUAUCCAAAAUAUGCCUGGAGAAAUUAAGAUGAGCAGCAAGUGUUACUUUGAUUGACAGGUUUUCCGCGGAUGGGCACUGUAGUGGGUCUAGCAGCAGGAGUGGCUGCUGGCUGACUAGACAUCCUUUUCUUUAUAUCUGCAGCCAUGGUCAUGAACGCAUCCUCUACAUUGGUAGCAUUCUUGGCACUAGUUUCCAAGAAUGGAAUACCAAUUUCUUCUGCAAAAGCCUUGGCAGUUUCUUUGGACACCACCCUCUUUGAGGUUAUAUCACAUUUAUUACCAACCAAGAGCUUAUUAACAUUAUCUGUUGCAAACUUAUCAAUUUCUUUCAGCCAUGUUUUGACAUUUUUGAAGCUUUCUUCAUCUGUGACAUCAAAGACAAUAAUAAUUCCAUGUGCACCCCGGUAGUAGCUGCUCGUAAUCGUACGAAAUCGUUCUUGACCAGCAGUAUCCCACUACGCGGAGAAUACGGAGAAUCAAUAACUGUACAUAAUUUCUUGAACAAAAAGUAGACUGUGGAAUACUUACAAUUUGAAGUUUAAUGGUCUUUCCAUCUUGCUCGACUGUGCGGAUUUUCUAAGUAAUAACAGUAAAUAUUUGUGAAGACAACAUAAAUUGUUACAGCCCUGACUGAUAGAAAAUAAUAAUGUUGCCAUACUUACAAAGUCAACACCAAUAGUACUAAUGUAGCUUUCAACGUAAGAAUCGUCCGCAAAUCUCAGCAGAAGGCAUGACUUGCCAACUCCAGAAUCCCCAAUGAGCAAUAUCUUGAACAGGUAGUCAUAUUCAGGCAUCAUGGUUGAUCCUAGGAAGGGACUGCUAUUAAAACCUGGACGUAUUUUAAUCGGCAAAGAUUUCUCAGAGAGGUUGCGGAGAGAGAGAAAGGAGGAGCAGAGAAAUGCUUAGUUUCUGGUAUAAAUAGUUAAGAGGAAGAGCCAACCAUAACUAGACUUUCGUGAUAUUGAAU